GUGACAGUGGCUUUGGUUGGGACAUAGUGGGUGACUCUACUCUGUCUUUCGGUAUGUAUAUUAAGUCGUACAUUAAGUCGGCAUGUCCAGGACCCAGCUGUCAGUCCAUCUGUGUGACAGACUUCAGGUGGCCUCAUCCUUACCAGCUGACCACUGUUGCAACUCAGUGUGGCCUUGGCUAGGUCUAACUGACAGCCAUGGUCUCUCAGAAAGUCCAAGCUCAGAAUACAACUGUCCUGCACUUCAGUUAUUCACACAAGAUGCUGAAUGUUCUUGCCCCCCACAGUCAAUAUCAACAAACCUCUCCCUUUCAUGGGAGCUAGCCCACCAGCCACUGUCCAGAGCUGAACCAUUGUGCCCUCCAACUGUGUCCCUUCUGGCACCACAUCUGGUGAACCACUGUAACUGUAGACCCUGUGUUAACUAGAGCUGUGCAUGAAAUUCCCUCAUUACAGAUGGGAAUGUGGCAAAAGUCUGAUAUGCCGUUCUGCCCACCACCACUAUCACAAGUUCAUCAGGCCUGGCAGUGAGGGUCUGCAGUGUCCCGCCUACUGUACCCCCUUUCUGAUUGCCACUACUUUAGCCUGGUCAGGGCAUUCUCUAACCAGAUGACCCAGGUGACCUAGAUGACCACACCCCCAGCAAAGACAGGUUUGUGUUUUCUGUCACAUGGGCAGAGGCACAGCCAACCCCCGAAUCAUCUCUAUAAUCUCAUCCAGCCACUCUGGUUUUUGUGCUGCCAUUUCACUGCUUACAACUGCCCUGACGUUGGUGGUGGAGUCCUUUGACGACCACGCAUGGUCAUCUCAACUGACAUUUUUCUCUCCAGUGCUAACUCCAGGGCCUCAGACAAAUCAUGUGGGCAUGCAAGCUGUGUAUGAAUGCGCAGCUCUGCUGGGGAAAGGGCUCUGAUGAACUGAUCGCGGCAUGACCCAGAUUACUUGCUGCACUCACUCCGGCAUAUUCAUCAUCUUCCUCCAUCUUACCACAAACUGAAUUAUCCAUCUUCUCCAGCAGCAGACAGCAGCUGCGUGGCUAAUGCUCAACCUUAAAUCAGCGAGUGUACCUCACAGCUGUCUUCAAUUGUUUUACUUCUCACAGCAUUUGUAGCGUUCUUCGACAAGGAUGCAAUGCUGUUGUCGGCCACACCCGGCUUGUUUCAGAGAACCUCACCAGAACAACGUGAACUCCUCUCUUCUCCCCCUCCCCAGAGCCCCUCACACACUCUCACACACACACGGAGUGGGACCUCCUCCUCACUUGACCCAAACAUUUAAUAACAGUUCCCCAACAUUAACUGAAAAAAGUUAAAUCUUUUACAAUAAACACAUUAUUUCCCUUAAAACAAUAUCAACAUUCU
ensembl:lncRNA